GUAGGUGGCAAGCGUUGUCCGGAAUUAUUGGGCGUAAAGCGCGCGCAGGCGGUCCUUUAAGUCUGAUGUGAAAGCCCACGGCUCAACCGUGGAGGGUCAUUGGAAACUGGGGGACUUGAGUACAGAAGAGGAAAGCGGAAUUCCAAGUGUAGCGAUGAAAUGCGUAGAGAUUUGGAGGAACACCAGUGGCGAAGGCGGCUUUCUGGUCUGUAACUGACGCUGAGGCGCGAAAGCGUGGGGAGCAAACAGGGAUUAGAUACCCUGGUAGUCCACGCCGUAAACGAUGAGUGCUAAGUGUUAGGGGGUUUCCCGCCCCUUAGUGCUGCAGCUAACGCAUUAAGCACUCCGCCUGGGGAGUACGGCCGCAAGGCUG
rnacentral:rRNA from 1 species